AAAUUCACACCCAUUUGUUGAAUCAAUUACUUCAAUUAUAAUUUCUCUUUCUACAACAAUCUCUCUCUCUCUCUAAACUAAAUCAAAACCUAAAGGAAGCAAAAGAAUUUAAGAGAAACAGAGAUUUUGAACUUAAUAGAUGCGAGUUUCAUGGUGGAUAAUGACUUUUUCAACUUCACUUUAGAAGAGGAAGAGAAGGAACGGAAAACCGUUUUCAAUUUGAAGAGGCCAUUUUUCUUCUUCUCACUUCAAAAAUAUGUCGCCAACAAUUACUCGAACCGAAACUUAGAACACUUUGUUUCAUGUACGUCAUGCAUUCGUGCUUUUUCGUUACUCUUAAAUGGUAUUCUUCGUUCGAGACUC
rnacentral:lncRNA from 1 species